UGCUACUGCCCAGUCCUAACAGAAGCUCACACUGAUAUUAGUGAGGAAAAGACACCAGUCCUCAUUAACUGUCUGGUGGCUAACACCCUGCAGCACACCUGCUGCUGACAAGUCCGAACACAGGCUUCAUCUCAUCCUGAGUGAACCAAAGCCAUCUUCCUCAAUAACUGUCUGAUGGCUGAUGCCCUAAGUACACCUGCUACUGCUCAGUCUUAACAGAGGCUUUCCAUGAUCCUUAAUGAACAGAGGCAAGUAAACAAAACUAUGCUGGCAUUAUUUGAAAACAGAGGAAUGUCUCUUACUUUCAAAAACAAGAGGAAGACUGACAAAGAUUCUUUUAAAAUUAUCCCAUUAUUAAAUAUUGGGGGAUCAUGUAGUUAAUGACAUUAUAUUAACUUGUACAACUUCACAAUGCAACAUAGCACACUCCAGUUUGUGCUCAACACUCACAGGAUGGCAUCCUUGUAUUGGAACUCCUUUGCCAUCGUAUCCUCACUCAUGCUUUUUCCCCUACGGUGACCGCCAUGGAAAAAGUCUGCAGGUAGGAGAUCUUCAAGGUGAAUGAGGAGGUGAACGGCCCAAUCUCUGCCCAUCGUGAUGGGUUCAUUACCCACUGUCCUUCACAAACAUCCCGAAUGGUCCUUUG